AAAGUGGUACUAGCCCUGCGCAGGUGGGGACGGGUGCUCGGUUUCCUCUAGGGAGGGAAGGCGAGAGGGGGCGGUGGCAGCGACAACAAUGCAGCUAGGUGCCGUGGCUUCCUGCGCGCGGCGGCCGCCAGGUGCGUCUCCAGACUCCCGGCGGCGUCGGGCAGGGGAUGGUUGCUCCGCCGCAACGGCCGCCAGUGCGUACAGUGAGGCGCCUUGCAGCGCAGCGCGGUGCAGGCUCCACGGGCCCAGACACCCCGCGCGCUGCACAUCCGGGUCCUGGCGCCCCCCCCAUCCUGCCUCCCCACCCAUGGGAAACCUUGGAUCUGCACCAGUUGGGACCUCUUCUCCAAAGCGCUCCUUGGCUUUGGAGCUAAGUGGCUUCGUGCCCGUAGAAGUGGAUUUCAAACUUCAAUAAUCAAGAGGAGUCUCACAUUUGUCGCCUAGGCUGGAAUGCAAUGGCGCAAUCUCGGCUCACUGCAACCUCUGCCUUCCAGGUUCAAGCGAUUCUCCUGCCUCAGCCUCCUGAGUAGCUGGAAUUACAGGUGCCCGCCACCACACCCGGCUAAUUUUUUUGUAUUUUUAGUAGAGACGGGGUUUCGCCAUGUUGGCCAGACUAGUCGAGAACUACUGACCUUAGAUGAUCCGGCCAACCAAUUUUCCAAACAGGCCAGUUUCAGCCUUCAGUGGCCAAUGUCCUAAAAUUCCCUCUGCUUAAUUUCUUUAAUCCUUACACAAAAAAACUAGCCUGGCCGGGUGUGGUGGCUCACGCCUGUAAUCCCAGCACUUUGGGAGGCCAGGGCGGGUGGAUCACGAGGUCAGGAGAUCGAGACCACCCUGGCUAACACGGUGAAACCCCGUCUCUACUAAAAAUACAAAAAAUUAGCCGGGCUUGGUGGCGGGCGCCUCUAGUCCCAGCUACUUGGGAGGCUGAGGCAGGAGAAUGGCAUGAACACGGAAGUCGGAGCUUGCAGUGAGCCGAGAUCGCGCCACUGCACUCCAGCCUAGGCGACAGAGGGAGACUCCGUCUCAAAAAAAAAAAAAAAAAAAAAAACUAGCCUGAAACAACCUGAUGGUAACACUAAUGAGUUAACACAUUCUUUGCUGUUGGGUUUUUGUUGUUGUUGUUGCUGUUGGUUUUGAGAUAGGUUUCUGUCUCCCAGGUUGUUGUGCAGUGGCUCAGUCAUGGCUCACUACAGCCUCAACCGCCCGGGCUCAGGUGAUCUUCCCACCUCAGCCUCCUGAGUAGCUGGGACUACAGGUGCACACCACCACGCCUGGCUAAUUCUUGUAUUUUUUGUCGAGAUGGGGUUUUGCCAAGUUGCCCAGGCUGCUCUCAAACUUCCGAGUUCGGGGAUCCUCCCAAAGUGCUGGGAUUACAGACAUGAGCCACCCCGCCCAGCCUGUUCUUUGAUUUUGCUCUCUACAACCCCUCUCUUCCUGUAGAGCCAACCUCCUCUGCCCAACUGAUUGGAACAGUUAUCCUAUUUUAUGGAAUGAAGUGUAGCAAAUUGCAAUGAAGCCGGUUAAGGUCCUUAGAUUUGUUGAAAUGUUGUCCAUUGACAGCAAAACCCCAGCUCUGCCAUUGCACGUAUGAGUCUUACCUUCAUUCCGGCCCUGCUGAUUCUGCGGGGGAUUGGGUUUUUUUGUUUUUGUUUUGUUUUGUUUUGUUUUAGACAGGGUCUUGCUCUGUCACCCAGGCUGGAGUGUGGUGGUGCCAAUCUCGACUCACCGCAACCUCGGCCUCUCAGGUUCAACUGAUUCUUGUGCUUCAGCCUCCCGAAUAGCUGGGAUUACAGGUGUGUGCCACCAUACCUGGCUCAUUUUUGUAAUUUUAUUUAAUUUAUUAAUUUUCUUGAGACAGGGUCUCUCUCUGUCACUCAGGCUGGAGUGCAGUGGUGGGAUCUUGGCUCACUUCAACCUCCACCUAUCAGGAUCAAGUGAUUCUCCUGCCUCAGCCUCCCGGGCAGUGGGGACUACAGGUGCACAUCAUCACACCGGCUAAUUUUUGGUAUUUUUAGUAGAGACGAGGUUUGACCGUGUUGGCCAGGCUGGUCUCGAACUCCUGACCUUAAGGGAUCUGCCAGCCUCAGCCUCCCAAAGUGCUGGGAUUACAGGUGUGAGCCACCACACCUGGCCAGGUUUUGUUUUUAAGUAUAAUUUGUAUUUGUUUUGGUGAAGAUUCAGAUUCACAAGAAGUUGCAAAAAUAGUACAGAGAGAUUUGUGCACCUUUCUCCCAGCUUUCCCCAGUGAUAGUAUUUUUAUAACUGGCUGGGCUCCAUGGCUCACACCUGUAAUCCCUGCACUUUGGGAGGCCAAGGCGGGCGGGUCAACUGAGGUCAGGAGUUUGAGACCAGCCUGGCCAACAUGGUGAAACUCCUGUCUCUACUAAAAAUACAAAAAUUAGCUGGGCAUGGUGGCGGGAGCCUGUAAGCUCAGCUACUCAGGAGGCUGAGGCAGGAGAAUCGCUUGACCCCAGGAGACAGAGGUUGCAAUGAGCCGAGAUUGUGCCAUCACACUCCAGCCCAGACAACAAGAGCAACGCUCCAUGUAAAACAAACAAACAAACAAAAAGCUUGAACCCAGGAGGCGGAGGUUGCAGUUAACUGAGAUUGCGCCAUUGCACUCCAGCCUGGGUGACAGAGCGAGACUCCAUCUCAAAAAAAAAAAAAAAAAAAAGAUUCAAAAAAAGUUUUACAUAGCCAUGUUAUGUUGUCAAAACCUGGGCGUUGAUGUUAGUAUAAUGGAAUCAACUCGAGUGCAGACAUUAUUUCGAUUGCACCCGUUUUUACAUGUACCUUCCUCUGUGUGUGUUUGGUUCUAUUAUUUAUUAUUAUUAUUUUUUGAGACAGAGUCUCUAUUGCCGAGUUUGGAGUGCAGUGGCGCGAUCUCAGCUCACUACAACCUCCGCUUCCCAGGUUCAAGCAAUUCUCGUGCCUCAGCCUCCUGAGUAGCUGCGAUUACAGGCGGGCGCCACCACACUCAGCUAAUUUUGGUAUUUUUAGUAGAGACGGGGUGUCGCCAUGUUGCCCAGGCUGGUCUUGAACUCCUGACCUUAAAUGAUCCACCUGCCUCAAUCUCCCAAAAGUGCUGAGAUUACAGGCAUGAGACAGCGUGCUUGGCAGUUGAGAGAAAUUUUGUCUCACUUGUAGAUUCCUGCAACCCUUGUGGUUUGAAGGUUCUGUGUAAUCAUGGUACUGUGUCUGUGUUUUAAAAUAUGUUUUGGGCUGGGUGCCUGCUUCAAGCCUAUAAUCCCAGCCCUUUAGGAGGCUGAGGCAGGAGGAUUGCUUAAGCCCAAGAGUUUGAGACCAGCCAGGGCAAAAUAACACGAGAUCCCCAUCUCUACAAAAAAAUUAUUAUUAUUUUUUUGAGAUGGAGUCUGGCUCUGUCACCCAGGCUGCAGUGCAAUGGCGUGAUCUCGGCUCACUGCAACCUCCGUCUCCUUGGUUCCAGCAAUUCUUCUGCCUCAGCCUCCCAACUAACUGAGACUACAGCCGCGUGCUACCACACCCGGCUAAUUUUUGUAUUUUUAGCAGAAACGGGGUUUCACCAUGUUGGCCAGGCUGGUCUCCAACUCUGGACCUCAGGUGAUCUGCCUUCCUCGGCCUCCCAAAGUGCUGGGAUUACAGGUGUGAGCCACUGCGCCCAGCUCCCCCCCCAUUUUUUUUUUUUUUUGAGAGAGUCUUGCCCUGUUGCCCAGGCUGGGUGGCACGAUCUCGGCUCACUGCAAGCUCCACUUCCAGGGUUCACGCCAUUCUCCUGCCUCAGCCACCUGAGUAGCUGGGACUACAGGCACCUGCCAGCACGCCUGGCUAAUUUUUUAUAUUUUUAGUAGAGAAGGGGUUUCACUGUGUUAGCCAGGAUGGUCUUGAUCUCCUGACCUCGUGAUCCGCCCGCCUCGGCCUCCCAAAGUGCUGGGAUUACAGGCGUGAGCCACCGCGCCUGACCCCAAAUUUUUUCUUAAAUUAGCUGGCCAUGGAGGCACAUACCUUUAGUGCCACCUACUCCAGAGACUGAGGCAGGAGGAUCACUGGAGCCCAGGACUUUGAGGCUGCAGUGAGCUAUGAUAGCACCACUGUACUCUGGCCUGAGUGAUAGCUAGACCCUGUCUCUAAAAUAAUUAUAAUAAAUCAAUGAAGAGUCCUUAUCAGUUACAAAUAACUGCCAAGCAUAUUUACAGAAGAAAUGGUAUAGGAUUUGCAUUGAAAUAACAGGAAGAGGCUGGCCACUGUGGCUCACGCCUGUAAUCCCAGCACUUUGGGAGCCCGAGACGGGCGAAUCACCUGAAGUCAGGAGUUUGAGACCAGCCUGACCAACGUGGAGAAACCCUGUCUCUACUAAAAAUACAAAAUUAGCUGGGCGUAGUGGCACAUGCCUGUAAUCCCAGCUACUCGGGAGGCAGAGGCAGGAGAAUCGCUUGAACCCGGGAGGCAGAGGUUGUGGUGAGCCGAGAUUGCACUCUAGCCUGGGCAACAAGAGCGAAACUCUGUCUCAAAAAAAAAAAAAGAAAAGAAAUAAUGGGGAGAGUAUUGAGGGAGAAAAAUAAAACAAAAUGGAAUAUAUGUGUUGCCAAUUGUUGAACCUGAAGGGUGGAUCAGGAGGGACUCAGGAUGCUCUCUACCUAAAAUUGCUGAGCCGUGGCCUGGUGCAGUGGCUCAUACCUGUAAUCCCAGCACUUUGGGAGGCUGAGGCAGGCGGAUUGCUAGAGGCCAGGAGUUUGAGACCAGCCUGGCCAACAUGGUGAAACCCCGUCUCUACUAAAAAUACAAAAAUUAGCUGGGUGUGAUGGUGGGCACCUGUAAUCCCAGCUACUCAGGAGGCUGAGGCGGGAGAAUUGCUUGAACCCUGAAGGCAGAGGUUAUAGUGAGCUGAGAUCGCACCACUGCACUCCAGCCUGGGCAACAGAGCAAGACUCCAUCUCAACAACAACAAAAAAAUUGCUGAGCCCUGUCCUAGAAACUGUCAGAAUAAGGUGUUUCCAUGUUAGCUGCGUCUGUAUCAGCCCCCAUUCUGUGAUGAUGAAAGCCAGUAUCAGAUGGGAACACCUGCCCAGGCAUUGGCUAAGCCACUAUCUUUUUUUUUUUUUUUUUUUUUUUUUUUUGGAUUCAGAGUCUCACUCCGUCACCCAGGCUGGGUGCAAUCUUGGCUGACUGCAACCUCCGCCUCCUGGGUUCAAGCUGUUCUCCUGCCUCAGCCUCCUGAGUAGCUGGGAUUAGAGGUUCGUGCCAACACACCCAGCUAAUUUUUGUAUUUCUAAUAGAGACGGGGUUUUGCCAUGUUGGCCAGGCUGGUCUCGAACUCUUGACCUCAAGUGAUCUACCUGCCUUGGCCUCCCAAAAUGUUGAGAUUAUAGGCAUGAGCCACCACAUCUGGCCUUUUUUUGUUUUGUUUUGUUUUUUUGUUUGUUUGUUUGUAGAUUUGGGAGGGGGAGUUUUACUCUGCUGCCUAGGCUGGUCUCAAACUCCUGGCCUCAAACCAUCUUCCUACAUUGACCUCCCAAACUGCUGAGAUUACGGGCUUGAGCUGCCAUGCCCAGCCUAAACCACUGUCUUAAUCUGCAUCCAGCUGUCUCCAAAGGCUAAAACACCUCCCCUUCUUACAUCAGAUAUACAAGUAAUGACCAGGCACAGUAGCUUAACGCUCAUAAUCUCAGCACUUUGGGAGGCCAAGGCAGGAGGAUUGCUUGAGCCCAGGAGGUCGAGGCUGCAGUGAGUUGUGAUAGUGGCACUGCACUCCAGCCAGGGCAACAGAGCAAGACCUUGUCUCAAAAAUAAAAAAUUAAAAAGACAUGCAAACAAUAAUCUUUCUGUAUUAUCAAGCACCUACUGUAUACAAGGCACUGUUUUGGUUCAGGGAUCUGCAAACGUUUUCUGUAGAGAUCCAGGAAAUAACUAUUUUCUGCUUUUGGACCACAUAUAAUGUCUAGAGCAAUUACUCAACUCUGCCAUCUAAGGGCAAAAGAAACCGUAGACUAUAAAUAAACAAAUCAGCAUGGCUGGCCGGGAGCGGUGGCUCACGCCUGUAAUCCCAGCACUUUGAGAGGCCGAGGCAGGCGGACCAUGAGGUCAGGAGUUUGAGACCAGCCUGGCCAAUAUGGUGAAACCCCAUCUCUACUAAAAAUACGAAAAUUAGCAGGGCGUGGUGGUGCACACCUAUAGUCCCAGCUACUUGGGAGGCUGAGGCAGGAGAAUCGCCUGAACCGGGAGGCGGAGGUUGUGGUGAGCCGAGAUCACACCACUGCACUCCAGCCUGGCCGACAGAACGAGGCUCCGUCUCAAAAAAGAAAAGAAAAGAAAAAAGAAAAACAAAUGAGCAUGGCUGUGUGCUA
rnacentral:lncRNA from 10 species